rnacentral:rRNA from 1 species
CCUACGGGAGGCAGCAGUAGGGAAUCUUCCGCAAUGGACGAAAGUCUGACGGAGCAACGCCGCGUGAGCGAUGAAGGCCUUCGGGUCGUAAAGCUCUGUUGUUAGGGAAGAAUAAGUGCUAGUUGAAUAAGCUGGCACCUUGACGGUACCUAACCAGAAAGCCACGGCUGGAGUACUACGUGACCAGCAGCUACGCGGUACGAUACGUCAGCAGCUGGCAAGCGUUGUCCGGAAUUAUUGGGCGUAAAGCGCGCGCAGGCGGUUUCUUAAGUCUGAUGUGAAAGCCCCCGGCUCAACCGGGGAGGGUCAUUGGAAACUGGGAAACUUGAGUGCAGAAGAGGAAAGUGGAAUUCCAAGUGUAGCGGUGAAAUGCGUAGAGAUUUGGAGGAACACCAGUGGCGAAGGCGACUUUCUGGUCUGUAACUGACGCUGAGGCGCGAAAGCGUGGGGAGCAAACAGGAUUAGAUACCCUGGUAGUCCACGCUGUAAACGAUGAGUGCUAAGUGUUAGAGGGUUUCCGCCCUUUAGUGCUGAAGUUAACGCAUUAAGCACUCCGCCUGGGGAGUACGGUCGCAAGACUGAAACUCAAAGGGAAUUGACGGGGGCCCGUUCACAAGUGGUGGAGCAUGUGGUUUAAUUCGAAGCAACGCGAAGAACCUUAC